rnacentral:rRNA from 5 species
AUGGUUAAGUUAGAAAGGGCGCACGGUGAAUGCCUUGGCACUAGGAGCCGAUGAAGGACGGGACUAACACCGAUAUGCUUCGGGGAGCUGUAAGUGAGCUUUGAUCCGGAGAUUUCCGAAUGGGGAAACCCACUGUUCGUAAUGGAACAGUAUCUUUAUCUGAAUACAUAGGAUAUUGAAGGCAGACCCGGGGAACUGAAACAUCUAAGUACCCGGAGGAAGAGAAAGCAAAUGCGAUUUCCUGAGUAGCGGCGAGCGAAACGGAAUUAGCCCAAACCAAGAGGCUUGCCUCUUGGGGUUGUAGGACACUCUAUACGGAGUUACAAAGGAACGAAGUAAAUGAAGCGACCUGGAAAGGUCCGUCGAAGAAGGUAACAACCCUGUAGUUGAAACUUCGUUCCCUCUUGAGUGGAUCCUGAGUACGGCGGAACACGUGAAAUUCCGUCGGAAGCUGGGAGGACCAUCUCCCAAGGCUAAAUACUACCUAGUGACCGAUAGUGAACCAGUACCGUGAGGGAAAGGUGAAAAGCACCCCGGAAGGGGAGUGAAAGAGAUCCUGAAACCGUGUGCCUACAAGUAGUCAGAGCCCGUUAACGGGUGAUGGCGUGCCUUUUGUAGAAUGAACCGGCGAGUUACGAUCCCAUGCAAGGUUAAGCUGAUAAGGCGGAGCCGUAGCGAAAGCGAGUCUGAAUAGGGCGUUUAGUAUGUGGUUGUAGACCCGAAACCAGGUGAUCUACCCAUGUCCAGGGUGAAGUUCAGGUAACACUGAAUGGAGGCCCGAACCCACGCACGUUGAAAAGUGCGGGGAUGAGGUGUGGGUAGCGGAGAAAUUCCAAUCGAACCUGGAGAUAGCUGGUUCUCUCCGAAAUAGCUUUAGGGCUAGCCUCAUGUUGUGAGAGUCUUGGAGGUAGAGCACUGAUUGGACUAGGGGCCCCCAACGGGUUACCGAAUUCAGUCAAACUCCGAAUGCCAAAGACUUAUCCAUGGGAGUCAGACUGCGAGUGAUAAGAUCCGUAGUCAAAAGGGAAACAGCCCAGACCACCAGCUAAGGUCCCCAAGUAUACGUUAAGUGGAAAAGGAUGUGGAGUUGCUUAGACAACCAGGAUGUUGGCUUAGAAGCAGCCACCAUUUAAAGAGUGCGUAAUAGCUCACUGGUCGAGUGACUCUGCGCCGAAAAUGUACCGGGGCUAAACGUAUCACCGAAGCUGUGGAUUGACAUCUUUGAUGUCAGUGGUAGGAGAGCGUUCUAAGUGCUGUGAAGUCAGACCGUAAGGACUGGUGGAGCGCUUAGAAGUGAGAAUGCCGGUAUGAGUAGCGAAAGACAAGUGAGAAUCUUGUCCACCGAAUGCCUAAGGUUUCCUGAGGAAGGCUCGUCCGCUCAGGGUUAGUCGGGACCUAAGCCGAGGCUGAAAAGCGUAGGCGAUGGCCAACAGGUUGAUAUUCCUGUACCACCUCCCCGCCGUUUGAGUAAUGGGGGGACGCAGUAGGAUAGGGUAAGCGCGCUGCUGGAUAUGCGCGUUCAAGCAGUUAGGCUGAUGAGUAGGCAAAUCCGCUCAUCAUAAAGGCUGAGCUGUGAUGACGAGGGAAUUAUAGUACCGAAGUUCCUGAUUCCACACUGCCAAGAAAAGCCUCUAGCGAGGCGGGAGGUGCCCGUACCGCAAACCGACACAGGUAGGCGAGGAGAGAAUCCUAAGGUGAUCGAGAGAACUCUCGUUAAGGAACUCGGCAAAAUGACCCCGUAACUUCGGGAGAAGGGGUGCUCUGGUAGGGUGUAUAGCCCGAGAGAGCCGCAGUGAAUAGGCCCAGGCGACUGUUUAGCAAAAACACAGGUCUCUGCGAAGCCGCAAGGCGAAGUAUAGGGGCUGACGCCUGCCCGGUGCUGGAAGGUUAAGAGGAGGGGUUAUCCUUUGGGAGAAGCUCUGAAUCGAAGCCCCAGUAAACGGCGGCCGUAACUAUAACGGUCCUAAGGUAGCGAAAUUCCUUGUCGGGUAAGUUCCGACCCGCACGAAAGGCGUAACGAUCUGGGCACUGUCUCAACGAGAGACUCGGUGAAAUUAUAGUACCUGUGAAGAUGCAGGUUACCCGCGACAGGACGGAAAGACCCCGUGGAGCUUUACUGUAGCCUGAUAUUGAAUUUUGGUACAGCUUGUACAGGAUAGGUAGGAGCCUGAGAAGCCGGAGCGCUAGCUUCGGUGGAGGCGUCGGUGGGAUACUACCCUGGCUGUAUUGAAAUUCUAACCCGCGGCCCUGAUCGGGCCGGGAGACAGUGUCAGGUGGGCAGUUUGACUGGGGCGGUCGCCUCCUAAAAUGUAACGGAGGCGCCCAAAGGUUCCCUCAGAAUGGUUGGAAAUCAUUCGUAGAGUGUAAAGGCACAAGGGAGCUUGACUGCGAGACCUACAAGUCGAGCAGGGACGAAAGUCGGGCUUAGUGAUCCGGUGGUUCCGCAUGGAAGGGCCAUCGCUCAACGGAUAAAAGCUACCCCGGGGAUAACAGGCUUAUCUCCCCCAAGAGUCCACAUCGACGGGGAGGUUUGGCACCUCGAUGUCGGCUCAUCGCAUCCUGGGGCUGUAGUCGGUCCCAAGGGUUGGGCUGUUCGCCCAUUAAAGCGGUACGCGAGCUGGGUUCAGAACGUCGUGAGACAGUUCGGUCCCUAUCCGUCGUGGGCGUAGGAAAUUUGAGAGGAGCUGUCCUUAGUACGAGAGGACCGGGAUGGACACACCGCUGGUGUACCAGUUGUCUUGCCAAAGGCAUCGCUGGGUAGCUAUGUGUGGACGGGAUAAGUGCUGAAAGCAUCUAAGCAUGAAGCCCCCCUCAAGAUGAGAUUUCCCAUAGCGCAAGCUAGUAAGAUCCCUGAAAGAUGAUCAGGUUGAUAGGUCAGAGGUGGAAGCGUGGCGACAUGUGUAGCUGACUGAUACUAAUCGAUCGAGGACUUAACCAAAC